rnacentral:rRNA from 1 species
CCUACGGGUGGCAGCAGUGGGGAAUAUUGCACAAUGGGGGAAACCCUGAUGCAGCGACGCCGCGUGAGUGAAGAAGUAUUUCGGUACGUAAAGCUCUAUCAGCAGGGAAGAAAAUGACGGUACCUGACUAAGAAGCCCCGGCUAACUACGUGCCAGCAGCCGCGGUAAUACGUAGGGGGCAAGCGUUAUCCGGAUUUACUGGGUGUAAAGGGAGCGUAGACGGCAGCGCAAGUCUGGAGUGAAAUCCCAUGGCUUAACCAUGGAACUGCUUUGGAAACUGUGCAGCUAGAGUGCAGGAGAGGUAAGCGGAAUUCCUAGUGUAGCGGUGAAAUGCGUAGAUAUUAGGAUGAACACCAGUGGCGAAGGCGGCUUACUGGACUGUAACUGACGUUGAGGCUCGAAAGCGUGGGGAGUAAACAGGAUUAGAUACCCCUGUAGUC